UGCGUAGGCGGUUGCCUAAGUCAGAUGUGAAAAGCUAUGGCUUAACCAUGGUCGUGCAUUUGAAACUGGGUAACUGGAGUGCAGGAGAGGAAAGCGGAAUUCCUAGUGUAGCGGUGAAAUGCAUAGAUAUUAGGAGGAACACCAGUGGCGAAGGCGGCUUUCUGGACUGUAACUGACGCUGAGGCACGAAAGCGUGGGGAGCAAACA
rnacentral:rRNA from 1 species